rnacentral:snoRNA from 1 species
CCUCCUUUUCUUGGCAGGGACUGGGUGCGUGUUCCAGCUCCCCAAUAUGUACAGAGGCAGAGGGAAAGGGCGCUGGCCCCAUCAGCAUCCUGUCUUUGAUGCCAGGGGCUUCCCAUCUGCAAGUUCUAUCCUCAAGCACUGGGACACCA